rnacentral:rRNA from 1 species
ACGGCAGCACGGGGGCAACCCUGGUGGCGAGUGGCGAACGGGUGAGUAACAUAUCGGAACGUGCCCUGGAGUGGGGGAUAACUAGUCGAAAGAUUAGCUAAUACCGCAUACGAUCUACGGAUGAAAGUGGGGGAUCGCAAGACCUCAUGCUCGUGGAGCGGCCGAUAUCUGAUUAGCUAGUUGGUGGGGUAAAGGCCUACCAAGGCAUCGAUCAGUAGCUGGUCUGAGAGGACGACCAGCCACACUGGGACUGAGACACGGCCCAGACUCCUACGGGAGGCAGCAGUGGGGAAUUUGGACAAUGGGCGCAAGCCUGAUCCAGCAAUGCCGCGUGAGUGAAGAAGGCCUUCGGGUUGUAAAGCUCUUUUGUCAGGGAAGAAACGGUGAGGGCUAAUAUCCUUUGCUAAUGACGGUACCUGAAGAAUAAGCACCGGCUAACUACGUGCCAGCAGCCGCGGUAAUACGUAGGGUGCAAGCGUUAAUCGGAAUUACUGGGCGUAAAGCGUGUGCAGGCGGUUGUGCAAGACCGAUGUGAAAUCCCCGGGCUUAACCUGGGAAUGGCAUUGGUGACUGCACGGCUAGAGUGUGUCAGAGGGGGGUAGAAUUCCACGUGUAGCAGUGAAAUGCGUAGAGA